AGGUCUAUUUUAAUUUAGCACACAGCCCCCCAAUUUUUUAAUGUGAAGGAAAAUAAAUGGCCGUGAAAAUAGAAUUGAUUAAAAUUCAGAUUUAGUUUUCUUCAGAAAUUUAAUUACAUUUCAGAUUGCUGUUCAGCAUCCAGAUAGCUUUGGUCUGCAUAUUUUGCGUACAGAUAUACUAGUUAAUAUUGGUCAGGUAUGAGUAAAAUGUCUACACUGUUAUCUUUGUAUUAGUAGUAUUAUUUUUUUAAACAAACAUUUUCUUAGCAGCAUUGACUGCAGGACUUGUGUAUAAUCCAAAGCCUUUUUCAGGAAACUGAAAGUCUGUGUUACGCCACGGAAAACUCGUGGCCGCAAUACUCAGAGCGCGGCGCCGUUUACGGACAUGGCGGACGGGGACUACACUUCCCAGCCAUGACCGCGCUCAAGUUCACCUGAGUAUUGAUCACCAACACCUGUGCAGCUGACGAAGUUAUUAAAGGCCUCGUUAAGCGGCGCGCCCUCGCGAAGUAAACGCUUAGUUCUUGUGACUUAGUGAUAUUACCAAGCCUUAGAGUUAAUCUAGUUUUUCCCCGGUAUUUGGACUUUCCUGCCUGUUAUACCCCGUUAUGAUUCCUCGCUUUAUCCCAGUUGGAUUGGUCGCUGAUAUUCGUCUGUUUUCUGCUAUUCAUCUCACGUCGCUCCUGUACUCGCCGCCCUGCCCGUCUGCGCUUGUCUCCAGCAGAAGUAAGAUGACUGAAGAAUCAGGAGACCAAGAGUCUGGUUAUAAUAUAAAGAGACAGUUUAUUGUGUUCACAAAGACAACUUGAGCACUCUAUAGUCUAAACAAAAGUUGGACACGGCAGAUUUUUAAAGACUUUUUUUGAUGUGUAUGUGCACAUAUGUCCAAGAAGAAAAACAUGGGAAAGAAACUGAAGUGAACAAGGACAAUAAAACAAUUUGGAAUGCACUGAACAAGUAAGAAACCACUGGUGUAUUAAGCAACAGACAUGAAACAGUUCAGCUAAUAAAAACAACAGCUGAUGACAAACAUUGAGAGCUGUGAAGAAAAACCCCAAAACAACAGUCAGUUACAUCACCAACAACUUCCACAGGACAGGUGUGCCAUGUCUUCUUUGAAUCCACCAUUCAAAGGCCAUACCAAGAUGCAAACUACUCAUCAGCAGUAAGAAUCAAAAGCCAGAAAAAAAAAUACAGAAAUGAGCCACAGACCUUCUGGAACCAAGAUUAACCUUUACCAAAAUGAUAGAAAGGCCAAAUCUGGAUCUGCUCUUUAUCAAAAACAUACAAGUUCAACUGUGAAACAUGGUGGAGGUAGUGUCAUGGUAUGGGCUUGCAUGCCUGUGUCUGGAACAGGCUCACUAAUCUUUAUUGAUUUAGAUUACCUUUAGCAUUUAUUGAUGAUUUAACUCACGAUGUUAGAAGCAGAAUGAAUUCAGAAGUUUACAGGAACAUUUUGCCUACCAAUUUAUAGAGAAAUGCAUCCAAAUGAAUUGGGAGGAAAUGUAUCAUACAGAAAGACAAUGAUCCAAAACACACUGCCAACUCAACAAAGGACUUUAUCAGGGUGGAAAAGUGGAAGGUUUUAGACUGGCCAAGUCAAUCACCAGACCUUAACCCAAUAGAGCAGCAUUUCACUUCCUGAGGAGGUGACUGAAUGGAGAAACCCCCUGAAAGAAAGAACAAACAAAAGGAGCUGUUGUAAAAGUCUGGAACAGCAUCACAAAAGAAGAAACCAGCAAUUUGGUGAUGUCAAUGAAUUUGCAGGCUUGAUGCAGUUAUUGCAAACAAGGGAUAUAGCCACAAAUUGUUAUUUACUCUAAUUCGCUUCAGAUAAGGAACUUAUCUGUUCCUAUAAUUUUGCUUGGCCAAAAAUUUCUUUAAAAAAACUCAAAAUGAUCUCAAAACCAAACGUCUUUGUUCUAUGAAACAAAUAAAUGAAUUGGCCUUGCCGUUCCAGUAGUUUCGGAGGGGACUGUAUGUAUCAAAUCAGCAUAAUAUUGUGGUAAUACUGUAGUAAUUUUGACUUCAGUGCUUAAAACAAGGUCAGCUCUGUGCUAAGAGUGGAUCGUAUUACACUGGUCCUGACCAAAGAUGAUUUUUGUUUUUCAUAAUGCACUUUUAGUUGAUCUGUUAUCUAGAGGUUUUAGCCACAGGCACGUUUCAUAAAUUGUCAUUUUCUGACCAGCUGCAAGUUGAAUGACACACCUUACAUGUGUCACCGGCAGCAAUUAAAGACGACAAAGAUGUAGAAUUUUCACUGCAAUGUAUACGCACACACAGUCAUAAACUCCUUAAAAAUCAUAUUUAUUUAUUUAUUUAUUAUGCACACCACUCAGAAAAGUAUCAAAUUGUUUUGCUCUACUUUGUGCAACUGUAUCUCCACUUCACUAUCUUCUUAGACCUUUUGUAAUGCUCUAUGCCUUCCAUAAUGAACAGUGGCAUGAGCAGCCGAUUGCUUGGCAAGUUGUUUACCUUAUAUGGUAGCUUGGGUGUGUUUCUUUAUAUAAAUGAGUGUGGUCGUGCGCAAGCACAUGAAUAUAGAAUGCAUGGGAUUUAUCAAUGGCCAAUGCAUACAGCUGUGCAUACUCUCGUGCUAUAAAUACCAAUUUUCUUGUGUGUACUUACACGUUCAUAGAAAGUGCAUGCACACUUUGAUAGAUGAACCACUGGUCUAGUGGUGUUUUAUACUUGAACAAGCUUUGUUUGCUUGGCUCUAAAUCACUAGUUUAACUUCAUAUGGCCCACUGCUCCAAAUGUUACUAGAACAAUUUCAGCACAUGGCCAAAACACAAGGUAAAAUAGUUUUUCUCCAGCCAGGAUAUUAAAGAAGGCUCUAUAUGCCCUCUCUGUAGCUGGCAUUGAAUUUUUGUGCAGUGCCUGAUGAAACUGCUCUGUCUGGCAAGUCUCUGUAGUGUAAUAAUCCAAAGACCAAAGAGCCAAACCUGAGUGCCGCCAUACGGGUUGUGUCCGAGUGGUCCAGAUACGAUAGUGAGAUCAAGCAGCUCCUGAAGCAGGUCAAAGGUCAGAAAGAGAGCAGAAAGUCAUCUGCCUCACAGACACAGUGUACAGUUUCUACAGGCAGCCGUCGUGAUGAACUUUAGCACCUUUUGAGAGGAAAGAGUGACGUUUGCAACUAAAACCCUCUUGUAUAGCUCUACAAGUGCACAGAGAGAUCCACAAACUGAACCAGGACAUAUUACACUGGCCUCGAACUCCGCAGAAGAGGAAGAACAGAGACAUUUUAAAAACAUUUCAGUUUUCUAUUUAUGAAUCUUGAUGGCUGAAGUCUACAUUUUAAAGGUACAAUAGGUCACACUUUCUAUCAGAGCAUGUAAGACUAAUCCUUUUGUAACGGAACUGAACAGAACACCUUGUCUGUAGUGAACCAGUAAUAUUCAAAAGAUUCAAACUGUGUAUAUUUAACCUUUUUUCUUUGUGUUAUACGUCUGCUCUGCUGCACAUAAAAUAAUGCCAAGUCUCUUAGGAAGGAAAGGUUAAGGAUUGUGUUUUGUUGUCAUCUUAUGGUCAGUUUUGGAAAAUUGCACUGAUGAGUAUCUAGGGAAAUUGCAUCUGCACAUUCCUCAGUAAUUUCUUACGAUAAAUUCUUGAAUCAUUCAACACUAUAAGCUCACGAUGAGUUCGUCUGUUGCAUCACUGUUAAAUGUUUACACAAAAGGGGAGGUUUAAGUGAAAUAUUAAUAUUAAUCAAGCUGUACAUGAUUUUUGUAUAAUGUGUAACUUGUUAUUCCUCCAUUACAGUGAAGAGGAAAUGGAAAAUCAUUACAAUAUGAUUGAACAAAUCAGAGAGGAUGUCAGAGUGGGGGAAUAUGUGUAAAAGUAACCCCAACACAUGCACAAGAUUUACAAUUUAUUUAUCCACAUCAUGAAUUAUUCCUGUGUUUCCAUUUGAUUUCAAGCCCUUUAAAGUGAAAAAGCCAUGCUGUGUUUGUGACACUCCACGCUGACCUGGGUUUUUUUUUUUCUUCUUUUUUUCUUUUCUUUUUAAGCUUGGAAGUGGAAGGAUGUGAAUUUUCUCAGGAAUAAAAUGUUUAUCAUUCAUCAGUGGUCGUCUGCUAUGUCUGGAGUUAUGUUACUGCAUCAACGUGUACAGAUAUUAAUCUGCUCUCCCUGAUGAUAGUGACUCUACCUGUUCUACCUACUCUUUAUUAUGUACAUUUUUGUGCACAAAGGGCUAGAUUCAAGAGCCAGGUAUAAUCAGUAGUCUGAUUUCACAAUAAGCUAGAAACCAGAAAACACUUGAUAGUGCAGAUUUGUGCUUGCUAAAAACUGCUGCUGUACUCAUCCUAGGAUGUUGACACGAACACAUUUGUUUGCCUUUUCCUCUAUUACAUCUGCAUACUGGUAAUGAUUUGUAAUCCCACUAUCCAGUGUCAACAGGACCCUUUUGAGUUUGCUUCCUCUCUUAGGUUUCUUCUUCAUGAUGU